GACGAACGCUGGCGGCGUGCUUAACACAUGCAAGUCGAGCGGAAAGGCCCCUUCGGGGGUACACGAGCGGCGAACGGGUGAGUAACACGUGAGCAAUCUACCCAUCACAUCGGGAUAACUCCGGGAAACCGAAGCUAAUACCGAAUACGACCACCUCCGGCAUCGGAUGGUGGUGGAAAGUUCCGGCGGUGAUGGAUGAGCUCGCGGCCUAUCAGCUUGUUGGUGGGGUAACGGCUCACCAAGGCUUCGACGGGUAGCCGGCCUGAGAGGGUGACCGGCCACACUGGGACUGAGACACGGCCCAGACUCCUACGGGAGGCAGCAGUGGGGAAUAUUGGACAAUGGGCGAAAGCCUGAUCCAGCAACGCCGCGUGAGGGAUGACGGCCUUCGGGUUGUAAACCUCUUUCAGCAGGGACGAAGCGCAAGUGACGGUACCUGCAGAAGAAGCACCGGCCAACUACGUG
rnacentral:rRNA from 1 species